rnacentral:misc_RNA from 1 species
GAUGAAGAACGUAGCGAAAUGCGAUAAGUAGUGUGAAUUGCAGAAUUCCGUGAAUCAUCGAAUCUUUGAACGCACAUUGCGCCUUCUGGUAUUCCGGAGGGCAUGCCUGUUCGAGAGUCAUUAACAACCGUUUCGAUCCCUUUCUUUCAGAAAUUACAAAGAGGAAAAGGGUUUGGUUAUGGUGGAGGAGGGAAAGGGAGCGUUUAGCCUGUAAAAAAAGAGGCUGUGUUCCGCCUCCCCCCCAAAAUUGUACAGGCGGUCGUGUGCGCCCACGCAUCGAGGUGUUGUAAAAGCUGCCACGGCACUUUUCACCUGUGCAGUGCGAGAUUGGCCAGCCGGUUUAAAAACCCCUCCAAACAAUCAAAGGUUGACCUCGGAUCAGGUAGGGAUACCCGCUGAACUUAAGCAUAUCAAUAAGCGGAGGA